AUUGAACGCUGGCGGCAUGCCUUACACAUGCAAGUCGAACGGUAACGGGCCUUCGGGUGCCGACGAGUGGCGAACGGGUGAGUAAUGUAUCGGAACGUACCUUUCAGUGGGGGAUGACGUAGCGAAAGUUACGCUAAUACCGCAUAUUCUGUGAGCAGGAAAGCAGGGGAUCGCAAGAACUUGCGCUGAUUGAGCGGCCGAUAUCAGAUUAGCUAGUUGGUGAGGUAAAGGCUCACCAAGGCGACGAUCUGUAGCGGGUCUGAGAGGAUGAUCCGCCACACUGGAACUGCGCCCCGGUCCAGACUCCUACGGGAGGCAGCGUUUUCUCAUUUUGGACAAUGGGGGCAACCCUGCUCCCUCCAUGCCGCGUGAGUGAAGAAGGCCUUCGGGUUGUCUCUCUCUUUCCGCCGGGACGAACUCUUCUCAGCUCCUCCCUGGUGCGGAUGACGGUACCGGCAUAAGCCGCACCGGCUAACUACGUGCCAGCCGCCGCAGUAACCC
rnacentral:rRNA from 1 species